rnacentral:rRNA from 1 species
GAUGAACGCUGGCGGCGUGCCUAAUACAUGCAAGUCGAGCGAACGGACGAGAAGCUUGCUUCUCUGAUGUUAGCGGCGGACGGGUGAGUAACACGUGGAUAACCUACCUAUAAGACUGGGAUAACUUCGGGAAACCGGAGCUAAUACCGGAUAAUAUUUUGAACCGCAUGGUUCAAAAGUGAAAGACGGUCUUGCUGUCACUUAUAGAUGGAUCCGCGCUGCAUUAGCUAGUUGGUAAGGUAACGGCUUACCAAGGCAACGAUGCAUAGCCGACCUGAGAGGGUGAUCGGCCACACUGGAACUGAGACACGGUCCAGACUCCUACGGGAGGCAGCAGUAGGGAAUCUUCCGCAAUGGGCGAAAGCCUGACGGAGCAACGCCGCGUGAGUGAUGAAGGUCUUCGGAUCGUAAAACUCUGUUAUUAGGGAAGAACAUAUGUGUAAGUAACUGUGCACAUCUUGACGGUACCUAAUCAGAAAGCCACGGCUAACUACGUGCCAGCAGCCGCGGUAAUACGUAGGUGGCAAGCGUUAUCCGGAAUUAUUGGGCGUAAAGCGCGCGUAGGCGGUUUUUUAAGUCUGAUGUGAAAGCCCACGGCUCAACCGUGGAGGGUCAUUGGAAACUGGAAAACUUGAGUGCAGAAGAGGAAAGUGGAAUUCCAUGUGUAGCGGUGAAAUGCGCAGAGAUAUGGAGGAACACCAGUGGCGAAGGCGACUUUCUGGUCUGUAACUGACGCUGAUGUGCGAAAGCGUGGGGAUCAAACAGGAUUAGAUACCCUGGUAGUCCACGCCGUAAACGAUGAGUGCUAAGUGUUAGGGGGUUUCCGCCCCUUAGUGCUGCAGCUAACGCAUUAAGCACCCCGCCUGGGGAGUACGACCGCAAGGUUGAAACUCAAAGGAAUUGACGGGGACCCGCACAAGCGGUGGAGCAUGUGGUUUAAUUCGAAGCAACGCGAAGAACCUUACCAAAUCUUGACAUCCUUUGACAACUCUAGAGAUAGAGCCUUCCCCUUCGGGGGACAAAGUGACAGGUGGUGCAUGGUUGUCGUCAGCUCGUGUCGUGAGAUGUUGGGUUAAGUCCCGCAACGAGCGCAACCCUUAAGCUUAGUUGCCAUCAUUAAGUUGGGCACUCUAAGUUGACUGCCGGUGACAAACCGGAGGAAGGUGGGAAUGACGUCAAAUCAUCAUGCCCCUUAUGAUUUGGGCUACACACGUGCUACAAUGGACAAUACAAAGGGCAGCGAAACCGCGAGGUCAAGCAAAUCCCAUAAAGUUGUUCUCAGUUCGGAUUGUAGUCUGCAACUCGACUACAUGAAGCUGGAAUCGCUAGUAAUCGUAGAUCAGCAUGCUACGGUGAAUACGUUCCCGGGUCU